GGUGACGGUACCAGCAGAAGAAGCGCCGGCUAACUACGUGCCAGCAGCCGCGGUAAUACGUAGGGCGCAAGCGUUAUCCGGAAUUAUUGGGCGUAAAGAGCUCGUAGGCGGUUUGUCGCGUCUGCCGUGAAAGUCCGAGGCUUAACUUCGGAUCUGCGGUGGGUACGGGCAGACUAGAGUGCAGUAGGGGAGACUGGAAUUCCUGGUGUAGCGGUGAAAUGCGCAGAUAUCAGGAAGAACACCGAUGGCGAAGGCAGGUCUCUGGGCUGUAACUGACGCUGAGGAGCGAAAGCAUGGGGAGCGAACAGGAUUAGAUACCCUGGUAGUCCAUGCCGUAAACGUUGGGCACUAGGUGUGGGGGACAUUCCACGUUUUCCGCGCCGUAGCU
rnacentral:rRNA from 1 species